UGGCGGACGGGUGAGUAAUGUCUGGGAAACUGCCUGACGGAGGGGGACAACUACUGGAAACGGUAGCUAAUACCGCAUAACGUCGCAAGACCAAAGAGGGGGACCUUCGGGCCUCUUGCCAUCGGAUGUGCCCAGAUGGGAUUAGCUAGUAGGUGGGGUAAAGGCUCACCUAGGCGACGAUCCCUAGCUGGUCUGAGAGGAUGACCAGCCACACUGGAACUGAGACACGGUCCAG
rnacentral:rRNA from 1 species